rnacentral:rRNA from 1 species
UACGUAGGGUGCAAGCGUUGUCCGGAAUUACUGGGCGUAAAGCGUACGUAGGCGGCUUUGUAAGUUAGAGGUGAAAGCCCGGGGCUCAACCCCGGAAUUGCCUUUAAGACUGCAUCGCUAGAAUCAUGGAGAGGUGAGUGGAAUUCCGAGUGUAGAGGUGAAAUUCGUAGAUAUUCGGAAGAACACCAGUGGCGAAGGCGACUCACUGGACAUGUAUUGACGCUGAGGUACGAAAGCGUGGGGAGCAAACAGG